CCUACGGGUGGCAGCAGUGGGGAAUAUUGGGCAAUGGGCGCAAGCCUGACCCAGCAACGCCGCGUGAAGGAAGAAGGCUUUCGGGUCGUAAACUUCUUUUGACAGGGACGAGCAGAAGACGGUACCCUUCGAAUAAGCCACGGCUAACUACGUGCCAGCAGCCGAGGUAAUACGUAGGGGGCCAGCGUUGUUCGGAAUUACUGGGUGGAAAGGGCGGGUAGCCGGGCUGACAAGUCAGAUGUGAAAUCCGUGGGCUUAACCCCCGAACUGCAUUUGAAACCGUUGGUAUUGAGUAUCGGAGAGGCAGGCGGAAUUCCUAGUGUAGCGGUGAAAUGCGUAGAUAUUAGGAGGAACACCAGUGGCGAAGGCGGCCUGCUGGACGGCAACUGACGGUGAGGCGCGAAAGCGUGGGGAGCGAACAGGAUUAGAUACCCGGGUAGUC
rnacentral:rRNA from 1 species